rnacentral:rRNA from 1 species
CUACAGGCUUAACACAUGCAAGUCGAGGGGCAGCAUGGUCUUAGCUUGCUAAGGCCGAUGGCGACCGGCGCACGGGUGAGUAACACGUAUCCAACCUGCCGUCUACUCUUGGACAGCCUUCUGAAAGGAAGAUUAAUACAAGAUGGCAUCAUGAGUCCGCAUGUUCACAUGAUUAAAGGUAUUCCGGUAGACGAUGGGGAUGCGUUCCAUUAGAUAGUAGGCGGGGUAACGGCCCACCUAGUCUUCGAUGGAUAGGGGUUCUGAGAGGAAGGUCCCCCACAUUGGAACUGAGACACGGUCCAAACUCCUACGGGAGGCAGCAGUGAGGAAUAUUGGUCAAUGGGCGAGAGCCUGAACCAGCCAAGUAGCGUGAAGGAUGACUGCCCUAUGGGUUGUAAACUUCUUUUAUAAAGGAAUAAAGUCGGGUAUGGAUACCCGUUUGCAUGUACUUUAUGAAUAAGGAUCGGCUAACUCCGUGCCAGCAGCCGCGGUAAUACGGAGGAUCCGAGCGUUAUCCGGAUUUAUUGGGUUUAAAGGGAGCGUAGAUGGAUGUUUAAGUCAGUUGUGAAAGUUUGCGGCUCAACCGUAAAAUUGCAGUUGAUACUGGAUAUCUUGAGUGCAGUUGAGGCAGGCGGAAUUCGUGGUGUAGCGGUGAAAUGCUUAGAUAUCACGAAGAACUCCGAUUGCGAAGGCAGCCUGCUAAGCUGCAACUGACAUUGAGGCUCGAAAGUGUGGGUAUCAAACAGGAUUAGAUACCCCGGUAGUCCACACGGUAAACGAUGAAUACUCGCUGUUUGCGAUAUACUGCAAGCGGCCAAGCGAAAGCGUUAAGUAUUCCACCUGGGGAGUACGCCGGCAACGGUGAAACUCAAAGGAAUUGACGGGGGCCCGCACAAGCGGAGGAACAUGUGGUUUAAUUCGAUGAUACGCGAGGAACCUUACCCGGGCUUAAAUUGCAGAUGAAUUACGGUGAAAGCCGUAAGCCGCAAGGCAUCUGUGAAGGUGCUGCAUGGUUGUCGUCAGCUCGUGCCGUGAGGUGUCGGCUUAAGUGCCAUAACGAGCGCAACCCUUGUUGUCAGUUACUAACAGGUUCCGCUGAGGACUCUGACAAGACUGCCAUCGUAAGAUGUGAGGAAGGUGGGGAUGACGUCAAAUCAGCACGGCCCUUACGUCCGGGGCUACACACGUGUUACAAUGGGGGGUACAGAGGGCCGCUACCACGCGAGUGGAUGCCAAUCCCCAAAACCUCUCUCAGUUCGGACUGGAGUCUGCAACCCGACUCCACGAAGCUGGAUUCGCUAGUAAUCGCGCAUCAGCCACGGCGCGGUGAAUACGUUCCCGGGCCUUGUACACACCGCCCGUCAAGCCAUGGGAGCCGGGGGUACCUGAAGUGCGUAACCGCGAGGAGCGCCCUAGGGUAAAACUGGUGACUGGGGCUA